rnacentral:rRNA from 1 species
GAUGAACGCUGGCGGCGUGCCUAAUACAUGCAAGUCGAGCGAAUGGAUUAAGAGCUUGCUCUUAUGAAGUUAGCGGCGGACGGGUGAGUAACACGUGGGUAACCUGCCCAUAAGACUGGGAUAACUCCGGGAAACCGGGGCUAAUACCGGAUAACAUUUUGAACCGCAUGGUUCGAAAUUGAAAGGCGGCUUCGGCUGUCACUUAUGGAUGGACCCGCGUCGCAUUAGCUAGUUGGUGAGGUAACGGCUCACCAAGGCAACGAUGCGUAGCCGACCGGAGAGGGGGAUCGGCCACACUGGGACUGAGUCACGGCCCAGACUCCUACGGGAGGCAGCAGUAGGGAAUCUUCCGCAAUGGACGAAAGUCUGACGGAGCAACGCCGCGUGAGUGAUGAAGGCUUUCGGGUCGUAAAACUCUGUUGUUAGGGAAGAACAAGUGCUAGUUGAAUAAGCUGACACCUUGACGGUACCUAACCAGAAAGCCACGGCUAACUACGUGCCAGCCGCCGCCGUAA